rnacentral:rRNA from 1 species
GACGAACGCUGGCGGCGUGCUUAACACAUGCAAGUCGAACGGAAAGGCCCUGCUUUUGUGGGGUGCUCGAGUGGCGAACGGGUGAGUAACACGUGAGUAACCUGCCCUUGACUUUGGGAUAACUUCAGGAAACUGGGGCUAAUACCGGAUAGGAGCUCCUGCUGCAUGGUGGGGGUUGGAAAGUCUCGGCGGUUGGGGAUGGACUCGCGGCUUAUCAGCUUGUUGGUGGGGUAGUGGCUUACCAAGGCUUUGACGGGUAGCCGGCCUGGGAGGGGGACCGGCCACAUUGGGACUGAGAUACGGCCCAGACUCGUACGGGAGGCAGCAGGGGGGAGUAUUGCACAAUGGGCGGAAGCGUGAUGCAGCAGCGCCGCGUGCGGGAUGACGGCUUUCGGGGUGUAAACCGCUUUCGCUUGUGACGAAGCGUGAGUGACGGGAAUGAGAAAAGAAGCACCGGCUAACUACGU